AUGAAGACAUAUUUGUUCGACCAAUCUGAGUUGUUGGCACAACUCUACGAUCUGUUUGGAGGGGCCGAGAUAAAACUCAAAAGACAAUGUCUUCAUCCUAUGCUCCUUGAGAUAAAAGCAUAUGCGCCGCCAUGGAACUGGCCGGAAUCAACCCGAAACUCGCCGGAAUCUGUCGUUGCCAAUCCAAAUUGUGGACGGCUCGACCUUCACCCCGAAGGAGAGGCCGGCCGCGGGCGGGGUGGAGCAGACCGCCUGUGGCCAGAAUCAAGGCGGGGCGGCACUGGAGAAGGGCGAGAGAGGCGUGGCCAGGGCGGGGAGGGUGUGGCCUGGGCGGGCAUGGCCGGGGCGGAGCAUGUCGGCGACAGGUGUGGCCAGGGCUGGCAUGGCCGGGCGAAGCGCGACUUGGACAAGGCGCGGCCAGGCAGGGCAUGCAUGGUCGAUUGGGAGGGGCGCAAUCCAGGAGCAGCAUGCUACACGCUGGCGGAGAGCGGCCAGCAGCUGCUGCAGGGAGGGGGCUGCUUCUCCCCGGUGUUGGAGCUCGUCGGGCGGGCAGAGGCCGCCGCGUCGGCGGCCGCCUCGGAGAUCUCCGAGACGUCCUCCGCCGCCGCCAACGCGCUCAGCUCCGUCAUCGCGGCCGUGGUGCGCGCGCCGCCCAAGGACUUCCGCGUCAUCAGGCAGGAGUGGGCGGCCAUCCGCAUCCAGACCACCUUCCGCGGCUUCCUGAGUCUAGAGAGAGUGUCUGGAUCACCUCGCCACCGCAUCACCACCGCGCCUCCACCAUCACCUCGCGCGACCUCUCCCUCCAGCCGGCGCGCCUCUCCCUGCUGCUUCCCCAACUUCUUCUUCUCUUUGCUGCUCCUCCACCUGUCCUCGUCCCCCAAACUGCUGCUGCUUUCCUUCUCCUACAACAAACGCUGCUGCUUCCCUCUCUUUGACUCUUCUUCUACUGUGCCCCCUGCUGCUCUCUCAAGGCUGCUGCUCCUUCUCCAUCUCUCAACUGCAUGCUGCGCCUCUGCUGAAACCUUCUCUGAACCCCCUGCUACUGCUUCUCUUCCUUACCUCCGCUGCUGCUGCUCUCUCUCUCAACCUUCUCUGAACCUGCUGCUGAACCCCAACUCGCUGCUGCAGUUUCUAGCUCUUUCUCUCUCUUUAAUUCACAGGAUGUUACAUUGGUGGUCUAUUCCAUUUGACUCUGGUUGUUACCGCUAUAGUUUGUUGUUGGAUGAUGUGUUGGAGCAGCAGCGAGCAACAGACCUUUUCUCGCAGAAGGUGAAGAGGUCGUCGUUGAGCACGUCGGACAAGGUGGAGGCACUCUUCCUGAAGCACUUCGCGCUCCUCGACCUCGACCUCGAGCUGGCGCAGGGGCGAGCUGGCGCAGAUGAUGGCGGCUGUGCUCCUCGACCUCGAGCUCCGCCCCCGUUCGCCCACGCUCCUCGACCUCGAGCUCUGCCCCCGCCCGCCUCGGGCCGCCGGUACUUCCCCUGCCCCCCCUCUCGCCGUGCUGCUUGA
rnacentral:rRNA from 1 species